GCCAGGGCCGGGCCUAACUGGGCCUUCAGCCAGUCAGCCCCCUGGUGCCUCGCCGCCGACCGGAUCCGCUCCAGCAGUCGCUCCACUUCAUCCAUCGGCCCUGCAGGGAGACAAAAAGGAAAAGCCCUACCAAGCCAAAUCUGUGCCCACAGGAGCGAACACAAACUUAACCAGGUAGGAAGUUAGAAUGAAUUACCUAAAAUGGCUGCCCAUUUAAAUAACCAAACCCACUUACCCAUAACUCCACUCCCUUGCUUACUUCCUCCUAGGCCCGCCUCCUAACCCCUGUCAAGGCCUUUUUUCGCUUAGCUGCGCUUG